rnacentral:rRNA from 1 species
UGGGGAAUAUUGCACAAUGGGCGAAAGCCUGAUGCAGCAACGCCGCGUGAGGGAAGACGGUUUUCGGAUUGUAAACCUCUGUUUUCGGUGACGAACAAAUGACGGUAACCGAGUAGGAAGCCACGGCUAACUACGUGCCAGCAGCCGCGGUAAAACGUAGGGUGCAAGCGUUGUCCGGAAUUACUGGGUGUAAAGGGAGCGCAGGCGGAUUGGCAAGUUGGGAGUGAAAUCUAUGGGCUCAACCCAUAAAUUGCUUUCAAAACUGUCAGUCUUGAGUGGUGUAGAGGUAGGCGGAAUUCCCGGUGUAGCGGUGGAAUGCGUAGAUAUCGGGAGGAACACCAGUGGCGAAGGCGGCCUACUGGGCACUAACUGACGCUGAGGCUCGAAAGCAUGGGUAGCAAACAGGAUUAGAUACCCUGGUAGU